GGGAAACUGCCCGAUGGAGGGGGAUAACUACUGGAAACGGUAGCUAAUACCGCAUAACGUCGCAAGACCAAAGUGGGGGACCUUCGGGCCUCACACCAUCGGAUGUGCCCAGAUGGGAUUAGCUAGUAGGUGGGGUAAUGGCUCACCUAGGCGACGAUCCCUAGCUGGUCUGAGAGGAUGACCAGCCACACUGGAACUGAGACACGGUCCAGACUCCUACGGGAGGCAGCAGUGGGGAAUAUUGCACAAUGGGCGCAAGCCUGAUGCAGCCAUGCCGCGUGUAUGAAGAAGGCCUUCGGGUUGUAAAGUACUUUCAGCGGGGAGGAAGGCGGUGGAGUUAAUAGCUUCACCGAUUGACGUUACCCGCAGAGGAAGCACCGGCUAACUCCGUGCCAGCAGCCGCGGUAAUACGGAGGGUGCAAGCGUUAAUCGGAAUUACUGGGCGUAAAGCGCACGCAGGCGGUCUGUCAAGUCGGAUGUGAAAUCCCCGGGCUUAACCUGGGAACUGCAUUCGAAACUGGCAGGCUAGAGUCUUGUAGAGGGGGGUAGAAUUCCAGGU
rnacentral:rRNA from 1 species